AACCGAUCAUUAACACAGAUCAGAAUUAUGGCACGUGAACGCAUGUCACGGAGGCUGCUAAAGCACAUCACGAGACAUGUGCUCGAAGACAGACGAAGCCAAGGAGGGAAACAGCGGAAAAGACGUCCAGAACUGUUACAGAUAAUGGGACAAAGAAAACCUUCUGGAAAUAAGCAGAUAUCAGAGAAAGUUCAAGACAGAAAGAGACUGAGAGAGCAUCACCACCCUGGCCAGGCUUAGAGAGAUGAUCAUGAUGAGCAGAGUUAUCUAGAAGGCAGAAAUGUAGACGUGAGCAUGACGAGGCAUAUUAUUCCAACUUGGAUGAAAGCCCUGACUCCCACACAGACCAAAGAAAACAGAACGUCUAAGACUGGUAAUGGAAAUGGUUCUUCCAGGCAGAACGAACAUUCCCUGGAGUGAUGCUGAAAAAAAGUGGUUUGGCGACAGCAAGGGACCUGCAUAACACUAAUGAAAGUUCCUGGGAAAGACAAAUGUUUAAAGUGCCUACAGAAAGAACCAGUGCUUCAAACCAGGGGCUGGAGAGAUGUCAGAAAUCAUGUUCACAAUGUAAUCUAAUCAAAAAAGAAGAAACUGAUUGAUAAAUUUCUGUUCUUUAAAGAAGUAAACUAACCUUUAACUAUCCUCUCUCCCUCUUAAAUUCAUCCUGAUUUUCUGACUCUUUAUUCUGCACAACAAACAAAACUUUACGCUUUUCUUCCUUUAGUUUUGCCAUCCAGAUGUGUACUUUUAGAGCUGACUAUGUUGUUAGAUGUUGGGCUUGUGAGCCUGUUUUUGACAGGUAUUCUGUGUCGAUUUUUUUAUUAAAUAAAAUAUUUCUGU